rnacentral:rRNA from 1 species
CGCGGCCUAUCAGCUUGUUGGUGGGGUAAUGGCCUACCAAGGCGGCGACGGGUAUCCGGCCUGAGAGGGUGUACGGACACAUUGGGACUGAGAUACGGCCCAGACUCCUACGGGAGGCAGCAGUGGGGAAUAUUGCACAAUGGGCGCAAGCCUGAUGCAGCGACGCCGCGUGGGGGAUGAAGGCCUUCGGGUUGUAAACUCCUUUCGCUAUCGACGAAGCCAUUUUGUGGUGACGGUAGGUAGAUAAGAAGCACCGGCUAACUACGUGCCAGCAGCCGCGGUAAUACGUAGGGUGCAAGCGUUGUCCGGAAUUACUGGGCGUAAAGAGCUCGUAGGUGGUUUGUCGCGUCGUCUGUGAAAUCCCGGGGCUUAACUUCGGGCGUGCAGGCGAUACGGGCAUAACUUGAGUGCUGUAGGGGAGACUGGAAUUCCUGGUGUAGCGGUGAAAUGCGCAGAUAUCAGGAGGAACACCGAUGGCGAAGGCAGGUCUCUGGGCAGUAACUGACGCUGAGGAGCGAAAGCAUGGGUAGCGAACAGGAUUAGAUACCCUGGUAGUCCAUGCCGUAAACGGUGGGCGCUAGGUGUAGGGGGCUUCCACGUCUUCUGUGCCGUAGCUAACGCAUUAAGCGCCCCGCCUGGGGAGUACGG